GUUAGUUGGUAAGGUAACGGCUUACCAAGACUUCGAUGGGUAGGGGUCCUGAGAGGGAGAUCCCCCACACUGGUACUGAGACACGGACCAGACUCCUACGGGAGGCAGCAGUGAGGAAUAUUGGUCAAUGGACGCAAGUCUGAACCAGCCAUGCCGCGUGCAGGAUGACGGUCCUAUGGAUUGUAAACUGCUUUUAUACGGGAAGAAACCCUGGCUCGUGAGCCAGACUGACGGUACCGUAAGAAUAAGGAUCGGCUAACUCCGUGCCAGCAGCCGCGGUAAUACGGAGGAUCCAAGCGUUAUCCGGAAUCAUUGGGUUUAAAGGGUCCGUAGGCGGCCCUGUAAGUCAGCGGUGAAAUCUCCCGGCUCAACCGGGAAAUGGCCGUUGAUACUGCAGGGCUUGAAUUAGUAGGAAGUAACUAGAAUAUGUAGUGUAGCGGUGAAAUGCUUAGAGAUUACAUGGAAUACCAAUUGCGAAGGCAGGUUACUACUACUAUAUUGACGCUGAGGGACGAAAGCGUGGGUAGCGAACAGGAUUAGAUACCCUGGUAGUCCACGCCGUAAACGAUGGAUACUAGCUGUUGGGUUGCAAGACUCAGUGGCUAAGCGAAAGUGAUAAGUAUCCCACCUGGGGAGUACGAACGCAAGUUUGAAACUCAAAGGAAUUGACGGGGGCCCGCACAAGCGGUGGAGCAUGUGGUUUAAUUCGAUGAUACGCGAGGAACCUUACCAAGGCUUAAAUGUAGAUUGACCGGUUUGGAAACAGAUCUUUCGCAAGACAAUUUACAAGGUGCUGCAUGGUUGUCGUCAGCUCGUGCCGUGAGGUGUCAGGUUAAGUCCUAUAACGAGCGCAACCCCUGUUGUUAGUUGCCAGCGAGUCAUGUCGGGAACUCUAACAAGACUGCCAGUGCAAACUGUGAGGAAGGUGGGGAUGACGUCAAAUCAUCACGGCCCUUACGCCUUGGGCUACACACGUGCUACAAUGGCCGGUACAGAGAGCAGCCACUGGGUGACCAGGAGCGAAUC
rnacentral:rRNA from 1 species